rnacentral:rRNA from 1 species
GACGAACGCUGGCGGCGUGCUUAACACAUGCAAGUCGAACGCUGAAGCACCAGCUUGCUGGUGUGGAUGAGUGGCGAACGGGUGAGUAAUACGUGAGUAACCUGCCCUUGACUCUGGGAUAAGCCCGGGAAACUGGGUCUAAUACUGGAUGCUACAUGUCACCGCAUGGUGGUGUGUGGAAAGGGUUUACUGGUCUUGGAUGGGCUCACGGCCUAUCAGCUUGUUGGUGAGGUAAUGGCUCACCAAGGCGACGACGGGUAGCCGGCCUGAGAGGGUGACCGGCCACACUGGGACUGAGACACGGCCCAGACUCCGACGGGAGGCAGCAGUGGGGAAUAUUGCACAAUGGGCGAAAGCCUGAUGCAGCGACGCCGCGGGAGGGAUGACGGCCUUCGGGUUGUAAACCUCUUUCAGCAGGGAAGAAGCCACAAGUGACGGUACCUGCAGAAGAAGCGCCGGCUAACUACGUG